CUCUAUCUUGAGGAGAUCGAUCAUGGCCUGCCCUCCCUCCUGAACCUCGUAGCGCACCCCGCCGAUUCAUUGAGGAUUUGAGGUUGAGGGCACAAGAGGCAUGUCUUGUUCAGCAACUGGGAUGGAAAGCAGAUCAGUCCCCACCCUUGAUUCAUAGAAACACAAGGUUUACUGAACAUAAGAGGUGGCUUAAAUCUAGUAACUAUUAAGGUUUCAGGUGUGGACGCGUGCAAUAUUUCAAUGUAGUUUUGCACCAUUACUACCUUGCAGAUAUGUAAUGGACAAGAAUUUCAGUGCACGAGCGAAGGGAAAUAGAUUCUGCUGCACAUAAGGUAUAUAUCCAUUCCCAUAUACAAUAUGUUCAAAAUAUGUUGCUCCAAUGGUUAUGUAUCUAAUGGUCGUCUUGCUAAAUGUUGUUAAAAACAAGAAUGUUAGUGCAUGUCAGGGAGAAAAAACUUCUGUUGCAAUCAAGCGGUAUCCUUUCAUAAUCACAUACAAAUUUUGUUUAGACUAUUUGUGGCUUGUUUAGUUGUUUAUUACUUCUUUGCUAUCAGUCUGUUGUCCAGACUACAAAAACAACAUAAGGUGCUAAUGCAUGCUGUAAGAGUGCUCGAAGUGGUUCCCUGAGUUGGAUGGAUG